rnacentral:misc_RNA from 1 species
GAUGAAGAACGUAGCGAAAUGCGAUACGUAGUGUGAAUUGCAGAAUUCAGUGAAUCAUCGAAUCUUUGAACGCACAUUGCGACCUUUGGUAUUCCAAAGGGCAUGCCUGUUCGAGCGUCAUUUGUACCUUCAAGCUUUGCUUGGUGUUGGGCGUUUUUUGUCUCCCUCUUUCUGGGAGACUCGCCUUAAAACGAUUGGCAGCCGGCCUACUGGUUUCGGAGCGCAGCACAUAUUUUGCGCUUUGUCUCAGGAGAAAAGGACGGUAAUCCAUCAAGACUCUACAUUUUUAACUUUUGACCUCGGAUCAGGUAGGGAUACCCGCUGAACUUAAGCAUAUCAAUAAGCGGAGGA